rnacentral:rRNA from 1 species
AGUGAACGCUGGCGGUAGGCCUAACACAUGCAAGUCGAACGGCAGCACAGUAAGAGCUUGCUCUUACGGGUGGCGAGUGGCGGACGGGUGAGGAAUACAUCGGAAUCUACUUUUUCGUGGGGGAUAACGUAGGGAAACUUACGCUAAUACCGCAUACGACCUACGGGUGAAAGCAGGGGAUCUUCGGACCUUGCGCGAUUGAAUGAGCCGAUGUCGGAUUAGCUAGUUGGCGGGGUAAAGGCCCACCAAGGCGACGAUCCGUAGCUGGUCUGAGAGGAUGAGCAGCCACCCUGGAACUAAGGCACGGUCCAGCCUCCUACGGGAGGCAGCAGUGGGGAAUAUUGGACGAUGGGCGCAGGCCUGAUCCAGCCAUACCGCGUGGGUGAAGAAGGCCUUCGGGUUGUAAAGCCCUUUUGUUGGGAAAGAAAAGCAGCAGGUUAAUACCCCGCUGUUCUGACGGUACCCAAAGAAUAAGCACCGGCUAACUUCGUG